rnacentral:rRNA from 1 species
GUGCACCAGGCGCGAAACCUCCGCAAUGCGGGAAACCGCGACGGGGGACCCCGAGUGCCGUGGCAACGCCACGGCUUUUCCGGAGUGUAAAAAGCUCCGGGAAUAAGGGCUGGGCAAGGCCGGUGGCAGCCGCCGCGGUAAUACCGGCGGCCCGAGUGGUGGCCGCUAUUAUUGGGCCUAAAGCGUCCGUAGCCGGGCCCGUAAGUCCCUGGCGAAAUCCCACGGCUCAACCGUGGGGCUUGCUGGGGAUACUGCGGGUCUUGGGACCGGGAGAGGCGGGGGGUACCCCUGGGGUAGGGGUGAAAUCCUAUAAUCCCAGGGGGACCGCCAGUGGCGAAGGCGCCCCGCUGGAACGGGUCCGACGGUGAGGGACGAAGGCCAGGGGAGCAAACCGGAUUAGAUACCCCCGUAGU